rnacentral:misc_RNA from 1 species
UUCACACUGUUUGCAGGUUAACUCGUUGUUUGGCACAAAUUUUACUUAAAUUACAAUGGGAAAACGUCGUACGCAGUCUCUAAUCGACUCAAAUUCGAGCGAUAGUGAUAGCGACGCGGACACCAACUUGGAAUCGGAUUUGUUGUCGCUGGCCAGAAAGAGAAAGAAGCCAAGCAAUGCCACCAAAGCCCCGAACUCAAAGUCCGAUUCAGAUUCGGACUGGGCAAACAAUAAAUCAAGUGCGCCAGCCUCAAAAAAGAAGCGUCCAAAGAAGACAAACAGAGAUUCGAGCUCUUCCGAGGAGAAUUGGGAUGACGACAGUCAGGAUGAGGUCGCAGCGCCCGUGGAGAAGCGCGCUGAGCCCGAACACAAGAAGCCAGACAUUCAAAGUGAACAGGAGGAGGGCGAGGUGUCCGACAGCGAUUCAGACAAUGAGAAAUCCAAGUCUAAAUCAUCAUCGACGUCUGGCUCUCCCUCUGGAUCGGAUUCAUCUAGCUCGUCAUCGUCUAGUUCCGAUUCAGAGUUUGAUGAUGGCUACGAUGACGAUUUGAUGGGCGACGAAGAGGACCGCAAACGGUUGAAUGGACUGUCCGAAAAGGAGCGCGAAACAGAGAUCUUCAAGCGGAUUGAACAGCGCGACAUUAUGCGCACCCGAUGGGAGAUUGAGCGGAAGCUCAAACUCGCCCGUCGUGGCGAAAAGAACGAGAAGUCAAAGACAAAGGGAGAGCGUGCCAAAAAGAAGUCCAAAAAGGACAAACGCAGCAAAAAAUCAAAGGACUUGGCACCACCCGUGCCGGCAGCAACCACAGCUGACAUAGAUACCAGCAAGAGCGGUGCGCCAGAGGCGCGCGCUUCGGCCAAGAGCCCCUCGCCCAUACCAUCGAUACGCGAGGGUCCAUCGACGUCUGGCACUGGCUCCAGUACAACCAGCAGCAGCGCCGAGAAAAACGCUGAAGAGCAGAGUUCGGGCAACGUGGCCGAUUACUUUGAUCACAAGGAGCGCUCCAAGGAGCGAAAGAAGAACGUCGAGGCAAAUAAAACCGAUGACAAGCGCAGUAACGCCAUGGCCAUGCUCAAAGCCAAGCGUGAAGGCAAAGCCAAGCGAGAGGAGGAGGAAGCCAAGCGACAAGCAGAACGCGACAGAGAUGAUGACAAAGAGGAACUGGAGAGCGUCUCUGGCUGUAAAUCGGCGGUAAAGCUGAAAGCCUCGGAGAUCUACUCAGACGAUUCGGGCAGCAGCGAUUGGGAUGACGAAGAGAAGCCGGCAGGCAAACGUUCACGUUCGAACAGCAGCAAGGCGUCUAGCGAAUCCGAGGACGACGAGAAGGCCACAAAGAGCCCCGUGUUUAUAACCACCCGCGAGGAUCUAAACAAGCUGCGGCUAUCCCGCUUCAAAAUGGAGCGCUUCGUCAAUCUGCCCAUAUUUGAGAGCACCGUAGUCAACUGCUUUGUGCGCAUCAGCAUUGGCAACAAUGGCCAGAAGCCCGUGUAUCGGGUGGCCGAGAUCGUGGGCGUUGUGGAGACCGGCAAAAUAUACACACUUGGCACGACACGCACCAAUCGGGGAUUGCGUCUCAAGCACGGCACACAGGAGCGCGUUUUUCGGCUGGAGUUUAUAUCUAAUCAGGAGUUCACUGAAACCGAGUUUAACAAAUGGGUUGAGAUCUGUCAGCAGCAGCACGUGCCCAUGCCAACAAUUGAUUUGAUUGAGAUCAAGGCGAACGAUAUUAAGAAGGCCCUGAAUUACGAGUUUAAGGACGAGGACGUAGACAAGAUUGUUGAGGAGAAGAAUCGCUUCCGCAAUCGCCCCACCAACUAUGCCAUGAAAAAGACCUGCCUCAUGAAGGAGCGUGAUGCGGCUAUGCUUCGUGGCGACUACGAUAUUGCCAACGAUCUGGGCCAGCAAAUCGAUCAGCUAGAGAGUCGUGCCUCCGAGCUAGACAAGCGACGUUCCCACAGUCUCAAUUUGAUUUCCUACAUAAAUGACCGCAAUCGUAAGCGCAACGUGCAGGACGCUGAGAAGGCCAUCAUGGAGGAGGCGCGAGCCAACAAAGGCAUGAAGAUAUCAGAUCCAUUUACGCGCCGCAUUACACAGCCUCGCAUGGGCUUCAAGGGCACCAAAAAGGAUGAGGAUGAGUCGCUGGCAGUCCCGUUGCCACCGCCACCGCCAGGCAAAAAGAAGCCCAAUGAAACAAGCACUUCCAACGCGAAGCCAGCCGAUGGCAAGGACUACAGCUUGUACUCACUGCACGACUUUGACAUAGACCUAGACGUACCGCUGCCAGUGAACAGCGCCAAUGCGCUGCCAAAGCCAGCGAAUAAACCAACCGAGACGGUGUCCAAGCGUUCACUGAACCUGGAAGAUUACAAAAAGAAGCGCGGCCUCAUCUAGCUGCAGCGUUCAAUUAACAAUGUUCUUUACUUAGGUUAGUGUGGUGUUACGAGUAAUUAAACGUAAUCGAUUAUUAUGACGACAAAGGAGGAAAGUUUGUAAACGCUCCAACCUGGCUCCAUCACCUAUAGGCAUAGUUUACAAAUUGUAUUGGGUGUCAUAAGAAAUCCCCAUUCGGACGAAAUAACCAAGACUUUCGCACAGAAGACAAAUGCGUUUGCAUUCCAAUGUCCCGUCCCAAGGGAGUUUUCUCUGAUACUUCUGUCUCUGUUCCUCGGAUCUAUGUUAAUU